rnacentral:rRNA from 1 species
GUGGGGAAUCUUAGACAAUGGGCGCAAGCCUGAUCUAGCCAUGCCGCGUGAGUGAUGAAGGCCCUAGGGUUGUAAAGCUCUUUCAGCUGGGAAGAUAAUGACGGUACCAGCAGAAGAAGCCCCGGCUAACUCCGUGCCAGCAGCCGCGGUAAUACGGAGGGGGCUAGCGUUGUUCGGAAUUACUGGGCGUAAAGCGCGCGUAGGCGGACUGAAAAGUUGGGGGUGAAAUCCCGGGGCUCAACCUCGGAACUGCCUUCAAAACUAUCAGUCUGGAGUUCGAGAGAGGUGAGUGGAAUUCCGAGUGUAGAGGUGAAAUUCGUAGAUAUUCGGAGGAACACCAGUGGCGAAGGCGGCUCACUGGCUCGAUACUGACGCUGAGGUGCGAAAGCGUGGGGAGCAAACAGGAUUAGAAACCCCGGUAGUCC